rnacentral:rRNA from 1 species
UACGAAGGGGGCUAGCGUUGCUCGGAAUCACUGGGCGUAAAGGGUGCGUAGGCGGGUGUUUAAGUCAGGGGUGAAAUCCUGGAGCUCAACUCCAGAACUGCCUUUGAUACUGAGGAUCUUGAGUACGGGAGAGGUGAGUGGAACUGCGAGUGUAGAGGUGAAAUUCGUAGAUAUUCGCAAGAACACCAGUGGCGAAGGCGGCUCACUGGCCCGUUACUGACGCUGAGGCACGAAAGCGUGGGGAGCAAACAGG